AGAAGAGAGUGGAGCGCCCGGCCAGGCGCCAGCAGAGCACAACAACCCAGGAACAGCCGCAACGGAGAGAAGGGAACGUGCGGAGGGAUCGGCCCGGAGCGGAGCCGGGGGGGCUGAGCGGAGCGCGGAGUGAGAGAAGGAGAGAGAGGGGAGAGCGCUGGGGCGCGGGGUGCGGGGCCGCCCGCGGCGGGGGCAGCCCAGCCGGGUCGCGGGGAAGGAAGGAAGCGAGGGGAGAAGCCGGAGCCGCUCCGCGUUAGGAAGGAAGGAGAAAAAAACCCGAUCUGAAGGAAUAAAGGAGCAGAAUCCGAAGCGGCUCGAGAAAUAAAUCAGCGCCGGGAAGGGGGAGAGAGCAGAGCAGCGCUUCCCGAGGCGGCUCCCUGCGAGCCGGGAGCGGAGCGGCGCUGCGGGGAACGGCUGCGACGAGCGAGCGUGGAACAACCGCGAGGAGAGGCACACUCACAGCACUCACGCACACGCACGGCAAGCGCGGGGAUCACCCGGGCUCUGCUGGCUAACAGGGGCCGCCAUCAGCAGCAGCACCGGCGGAGAGCAAAUCGGACAGGCCCCUCUUAGGGAGGAUUUAUCUAUAGACUUCUCCUAUCCUCCGGUACGGGGAAACACCACCACCACCACCACCGGCAACGAGAACGCACAAAAAACAGCCAGCGAGCACGAUGAGUUUCUGUGUGUUUCUUCUUUUUUCUCUCUCUUUCCUUUUUCUUUCUC